ACGCUCGACACCUACGGAGGCAGCAGUUGGGAAUAUUGGACAAUGGAGGAAACUCUGAUCCAGUGACGCCGCGUGAAGGAAGAAGGUCUUCGGAUUGUAAACUUAUUUUGUCAGGGAAGAAAAAUGACUGUACCUGAAGAAAAAGCACCGGCUAACUACGUGCCAGCAGCCGCGGUAAUCUGAGCGGGCUGGCAAGGC
rnacentral:rRNA from 1 species